UAGGCCUAGAAGGACCACAGGAAGACCCAGCAGAGCGCAGAUUAACUCUCCCGUCACUCCGGGAGACCAUGUGAUGAAACCUGUUUAAAUCCUUCGUUUGAGAAAUCUUAUUGCUUCUAGAGGAAACAGGCAGGACUUCUAAAAUGCUCCACCAGAUUACAGACAAUGGAAGGGACACAGUGGCGGUAGCAACAGUGAAGACAGCGCUCUCACUUAUAGACAAGAAGUUCAAUACAGAAAUUGAGAAGAUGAUAUAGGCUAUU